UAUAUUGAGUAUUGAUGCAUCAUACGGAGGAGCUAUCCAUGAUGCAUUCAUAUGGGCCCAACAUGAGAUAAAAGCUCACAUGGAAGAACUCUCAAUACAGGGAGAGACUACAUACCUACUGGGUGACUCAGGGUAUCCUCUCCGGUCAUUCAUGAUGACUCCAGUGGACCAUGCAGUAGACGACUCACCUGAAGGGCGCUACAAUAUAAUUCAGAAACGUGCCCGUUCCACUGUAGAGCGCACAUUUGGAAUACUAAAAGGGAGAUGGAGAUGCUUAUUAGCCGCCAGAGAAUUACAUUACACUCCUGAGACCGCUGGCAAAAUUGCAAUUGCAUGCAGUGUAUUGCACAACAUGUGCAUACAUGCUCGGCUCGACCAUCCUGAAUUAACAGAGGAGGACCUCGCAGCUGAGAACGCCCUGCCCAUUCCCCAGCAUGCUGCAAUUCCACAAGGACGGGCAUUGGAGGAAGGAAGAAGAGUACGCAGAGUACUAAUAAAUUUAUUAGAGGCAUAAUAUGCCCCCGGCUUUGUAUGGAUAUACUUAUAUAAGACAAAACAAUCCUUAUUGUGAGGUUGUAGAAGAGAUUACUUUUAGUAAUACGGCCGCUGAUUGUACUAUUUCUUUUCUAUGUUUGUGAAACUGUUUCUGUUUGUGUGCAAUAAAGAGUAUUUUAUCUUUA